rfam:Heterocephalus glaber contig118907, whole genome shotgun sequence.
AGAUAUAAGAGUGAUCUGGCUGUGACACCUGUCACCUCAUUGUUCACCAGGGUUGAUUUAGCUGAUCUGGCUAGCUAGGUGGGUGUCCCCUUCCUCCCUCACUACCCUAUGGGCAUCCCUCCCAAAGCUGCAUGAUUGGUCAAAGAGUACAAUACCCCUGAUAGAGGAGAACUGUUUCCUGAGUUAAGAGUAUAUGAGUAGCUGUGCUCCCUUGCUAAAACCUCCAAACAACCUCUCAGUGGAGGGGCCAACUGAACUGAGGACCCCGAGCAGCUGUGGGUUGGCUUCAUUU